GGAGCACCCUUCGGGGUGUGACUGCGUACCUUUUGUAUAAUGGGUCAGCGACUUAUAUUCUGUAGCAAGGUUAACCGAAUAGGGGAGCCGGAGGGAAACCGAGUCUUAAUUGGGCGUUAAGUUGCAGGGUAUAGACCCGAAACCCGGUGAUCUAGCCAUGGGCAGGUUGAAGGUUGGGUAACACUAACUGGAGGACCGAACCGACUAAUGUUGAAAAAUUAGCGGAUGACCUGUGGCUGGGGGUGAAAGGCCAAUCAAACCGGGAGAUAGCUGGUUCUCCCCGAAAGCUAUUUAGGUAGCGCCUCGUGAAUUCAUCUCCGGGGGUAGAGCACUGUUUCGGCUAGGGGGCCAUCCCGGCUUACCAACCCGAUGCAAACUGCGAAUACCGGAGAAUGUUAUCACGGGAGACACACGGCGGGUGCUAACGUCCGUCGUGAAGAGGGAAACAACCCAGACCGCCAGCUAAGGUCCCAAAGUCAUGGUUAAGUGGGAAACGAUGUGGGAAGGCCCAGACAGCCAGGAUGUUGGCUUAGAAGCAGCCAUCAUUUAAAGAAAGCGUAAUAGCUCACUGGUCGAGUCGGCCUGCGCGGAAGAUGUAACGGGGCUAAACCAUGCACCGAAGCUGCGGCAGCGACACUGUGUGUUGUUGGGUAGGGGAGCGUUCUGUAAGCCUGUGAAGGUGUGUCGUGAGGCAUGCUGGAGGUAUCAGAAGUGCGAAUGCUGACAUAAGUAACGAUAAAGCGGGUGAAAAGCCCGCUCGCCGGAAGACCAAGGGUUCCUGUCCAACGUUAAUCGGGGCAGGGUGAGUCGACCCCUAAGGCGAGGCCGAAAGGCGUAGUCGAUGGGAAACGGGUUAAUAUUCCCGUACUUGGUGUUACUGCGAAGGGGGGACGGAGAAGGCUAUGUUGGCCGGGCGACGGUUGUCCCGGUUUAAGCGUGUAGGUGUGUGUUCCAGGUAAAUCCGGUUCACUUUAACACUGAGGCGUGACGACGAGGCACUACGGUGCUGAAGCAACAAAUGCCCUGCUUCCAGGAAAAGCCUCUAAGCAUCAGGUAACAUCAAAUCGUACCCCAAACCGACACAGGUGGUCAGGUAGAGAAUACCAAGGCGCUUGAGAGAACUCGGGUGAAGGAACUAGGCAAAAUGGUGCCGUAACUUCGGGAGAAGGCACGCUGACACGUAGGUGAAGUGAUUUACUCAUGGAGCUGAAGUCAGUCGAAGAUACCAGCUGGCUGCAACUGUUUAUUAAAAACACAGCACUGUGCAAACACGAAAGUGGACGUAUACGGUGUGACGCCUGCCCGGUGCCGGAAGGUUAAUUGAUGGGGUCAGCGCAAGCGAAGCUCCUGAUCGAAGCCCCGGUAAACGGCGGCCGUAACUAUAACGGUCCUAAGGUAGCGAAAUUCCUUGUCGGGUAAGUUCCGACCUGCACGAAUGGCGUAAUGAUGGCCAGGCUGUCUCCACCCGAGACUCAGUGAAAUUGAACUCGCUGUGAAGAUGCAGUGUACCCGCGGCAAGACGGAAAGACCCCGUGAACCUUUACUAUAGCUUGACACUGAACAUUGAGCCUUGAUGUGUAGGAUAGGUGGGAGGCUUUGAAGCGUGG
rnacentral:rRNA from 1 species